rnacentral:rRNA from 1 species
GAUGAACGCUGGCGGCGUGCCUAACACAUGCAAGUCGAACGGAACUUCUUCGACAGAAUUCUUCGGAAGGAAGUUGAUUAAGUUUAGUGGCGGACGGGUGAGUAACGCGUGAGUAACCUGCCUUUGAGAGGGGAAUAACUUCCCGAAAGGGAUGCUAAUACCGCAUGAUGCAUAGAAGUCGCAUGGCUUUUAUGCCAAAGAUUUAUCGCUUUGAGAUGGCCUCGCGUCCGAUUAGCUAGUUGGUGAGGUAACGGCCCACCAAGGCAACGAUCGGUAGCCGGACUGAGAGGUUGAACGGCCACAUUGGGACUGAGACACGGCCCAGACUCCUACGGGAGGCAGCAGUGGGGAAUAUUGCACAAUGGGGGAAACCCUGAUGCAGCGACGCCGCGUGGAGGAAGAAGGUCUUCGGAUUGUAAACUCCUGUUGUUGAGGAAGAUAAUGACGGUACUCAACAAGGAAGUGACGGCUAACUACGUG